rnacentral:rRNA from 1 species
UGGGGAAUCUUGCCCAAUGGGCGAAAGCCUGAGGCAGCGACGCCGCGUGCGGGAAGAAGGCCUUCGGGUUGUAAACCGCUUUCAGGAGGGACGAAGCCACUCGGGUUAAUAGCCCAGAGGGUGACGGUACCUUCAGAAGAAGCCCCGGCUAACUACGUGCCAGCAGCCGCGGUAAUACGUAGGGGGCUAGCGUUGUCCGGAUUUAUUGGGCGUAAAGAGCGUGUAGGCGGCCAGGUAGGUCCGCUGUGAAAACUCGAGGCUCAACCUCGAGAGGUCGGUGGAAACCAUCUGGCUAGAGUCCGGAAGAGGAGAGUGGAAUUCCCGGUGUAGCGGUGAAAUGCGCAGAUAUCGGGAAGAAUAUCCGUGGCGAAGGCGGCUCUCUGGGACGGUACUGACGCUGAGACGCGAAAGCGUGGGGAGCGAACAGG